GUAGUGUGUGCAGAGCAAGAUUACAAGGGAAAUACAAAGAGAAGCCAGGGCACCACAGCGGAGAGUGCACCCAAAAGCGAUGAAGGCAGAAAGAACCCUUAGAAAAGACAAAGCAGAGAGCCUAGAGGAAGUCAUACUAUUAAUACUGGAAGUCCAAGAGAUCAUCCACCCUCAGGACACUGGCAACCAUGCGCCUCGCAGGCAACAAACUGUAACAAGGAAGAGGUGGAUCUUAAGGGCCCGACCUGUGCGAGGGUUCACGCACACUGCCUGAGCAUUGUACUAGACCUAACAAAGGAGACAAGCUGCAGCUCGGAAACUCUCGCCUUGAGCAAUAUAACGGGAGAGGCAGUCAAUAAAAUAAGGAUUUCAACAGAG